UAUUUCAUCCGCCGCUCCACCUUUCUCUACAAACCCUAGAUCCUCCACCGCACCUCCACCUUUCAUCCAUGGAACCGGUCGUUGCCAUCACCGUCUUCUCCCCUUUCAUCCAUGGAACCGUUGAAGACGAAGACCGAUGAACAGGUGAAAGAGAGAACACUGCGGCUUGGUUCAAGAACCUUCAAAUUCAGCCUUAGUGCCAAAACUAAGGGAUAUACC